CGGAUCCUUUAUAAAUGGUUCGGUCGAUUCGGGCCAGCCGGGUAGACCUGAACCGUUGACAGCCCCUUCAAGAACAUGAACGACGAUAGGGAUUGUGCUGCAGCAAGGUUAGUAUCCCUUUUCCUUCUCCCUUCGGACCUGUACUUCGAGGAACGUUCUAGUCGGUUCGGAUUGUCAACUGCCGUAUCAGAAUGACUGCCAUAGGGCAUCGCCACUUCCAUGAGAUUGCGUCACUGGAGCAGA